rnacentral:rRNA from 1 species
AUUGAACGCUGGCGGCAGGCUUAACACAUGCAAGUCGAGCGGGGGAAGGUAGCUUGCUACCGGACCUAGCGGCGGACGGGUGAGUAAUGCUUAGGAAUCUGCCUAUUAGUGGGGGACAACAUCUCGAAAGGGAUGCUAAUACCGCAUACGUCCUACGGGAGAAAGCAGGGGAUCUUCGGACCUUGCGCUAAUAGAUGAGCCUAAGUCGGAUUAGCUAGUCGGUGGGGUAAAGGCCUACCAAGGCGACGAUCUGUAGCGGGUCUGAGAGGACGAUCCGCCACACUGGGACUGAGACACGGCCCAGACUCCUACGGGAGGCAGCAGUGGGGAAUAUUGGACAAUGGGGGGAACUCUGAUCCAGCCAUGCCGCGUGUGUGAAGAAGGCCUUAUGGUUGUAAAGCACUUUAAGCGAGGAGGAGGCUACUCUAGUUAAUACCUAGGGAUAGUGGACGUUACUCGCAGAAUAAGCACCGGCUAACUCUGUGCCAGCCGCCGCCGUAA